UAAAAUGUGAAGAAGGAGGAAUAUGUAAUGCAGGGGCAAAAUGGGAAAAGCACGAAAAAAUUAAAUUGAAAAAUGAAAAGUGAACUUUUUCCAAAUCAAUCAAAUUCGUCCCUGAACACGUGGCUUCCUUCUUGCCACGCGUACAAGACAUCACAGCAUGCAAGGCGACAUGUCAGCAUGGCUAACGGAGCCCGUUAACGGAGGGACCUUUUUGAUGGACGUCUGAUAAAUUCAGGGAUUAAAUUGAUAUUUCGCAUAAUUGAGGGACGAAUUUGACCGACG
rnacentral:lncRNA from 1 species